rnacentral:rRNA from 1 species
UACAGAGGGUGCGAGCGUUAAUCGGAUUUACUGGGCGUAAAGGGCGCGUAGGCGGCAAUUCAAGUCACUUGUGAAAUCUCCGGGCUUAACUCGGAACGGUCAAGUGAUACUGCUUUGCUAGAGUGCGGAAGAGGCAAUCGGAAUUCUCGGUGUAGCGGUGAAAUGCGUAGAUAUCGAGAGGAACACCUGAGGUGAAGACGGGUUGCUGGGCCGACACUGACGCUGACAGCGCGAAAGCCAGGGGAGCAAACGGG